rnacentral:ncRNA from 1 species
GACCCAAAAGGUGGUGAACUAUGCCUGGGCAGGGCAAAGCCCAAGGAAACUCUGGUGGAGGUCCAUAGGGGUACUGACAUGCAAAUCAGUUGUCCCACCUGGGUAUAGAGCUGAAAGACUACUCACCAUACAGUUGUGGG